rnacentral:misc_RNA from 1 species
AACGCACAUUGCGCCCGCUAGUAUUCUGGCGGGCAUGCCUGUUCGAGCGUCAUUUCAACCCUCAAGCACCGCUUGGCGUUGGUGGCCUACAGCGUUUCGCUGUAGCCGCCCAAAUCUAGUGGCGGUCCUGCUGUGGCUCCCCCUGCGUAGUAGCUAACACCUCGCAUCGGGUCCAGGCGGCGGCCUGCCGUAAAAGCUAUUUUUUACAGUACAAGGUUGACCUCGGAUCAGGUAGGAAUACCCGCUGAACUUAA